AGGACGAACGCUGGCGGCGUGCUUAACACAUGCAAGUCGAGCGAGGCUCCUCCUUCGGGAGGAUGUCCUAGCGGCGAACGGGUGAGUAACACGUGGGCAACCUGCCCUCAGCUCUGGGAUAACUCCGGGAAACCGGGGCUAAUACCGGAUACGACUUCCACGGGCAUCUGUGGAGGUGGAAAGUUUUUCGGCUGAGGAUGGGCCCGCGGCCUAUCAGCUAGUUGGUGGGGUGAUAGCCCACCAAGGCGACGACGGGUA
rnacentral:rRNA from 1 species